CGACCAGACUCCUACGGGAGGCAGCAGUGGGGAAUAUUGCACAAUGGGGGAAACCCUGAUGCAGCGACGCCGCGUGAGUGAAGAAGUAUUUCGGUCUGUAAAGCUCUAUCAGCAGGGAGGAAAUAGCGACCUUUGGGUCGCCAGACGGUACCUGAUUAAGAAGCCCCGGCUAACUACGUGCCAGCAGCCGCGGUAAUACGUAGGGGGCAAGCGUUAUCCGGAUUUACUGGGUGUAAAGGGAGCGUAGACGGCAGCGCAAGUCGGAAGUGAAAUGCCGGGGCUUAACCCCGGAACUGCUUUGGAAACUGUGCAGCUAGAGUGCAGGAGAGGUAAGUGGAAUUCCUAGGGUAGCGGUGAAAUGCGUAGAUAUUAGGAGGAACACCAGUGGCGAAGGCGGCUUGCUGGACUGUAACUGACACUGAGGCUCGAAAGCGUGGGGAGCAAACAGGAUUAGAUACCCUAGUA
rnacentral:rRNA from 1 species